GGGCUUGUAGCUCAGUGGAUUAGAGCACGUGGCUACGAACCACGGUGUCGGGGGUUCGAAUCCCUUCUUGCCCG
rnacentral:tRNA from 1 species